rnacentral:rRNA from 1 species
AUAUCAGUCAUGCAUAGCAUAUCAAUAAGCGGAGGAAAAGAAACUAACAUAGGAUUCCCUUAGUAACGGCGAGUGAAGCGGGAAGAGCUCAAAUUUGAAAUCUUCAAGGUUCUACCUUGACGAAUUGUAGUUUAUAGAAGUGUUUUCUGUUAGUAGGAGCGGCAAAAGUUCUUUGGAAUAGGACAUCAUAGAGGGUGAGAAUCCCGUAUUUGGAUCCAUUAUUUCCUAGCUUUGUGAUACACUUUCAAAGAGUCGGAUUGUUUGGGAAUGCAGUCCAAAAUGGGUGGUAAAUUUCAUCUAAAGCUAAAUACUGGCGAGAGACCGAUAGCGAACAAGUACCGUGAGGGAAAGAUGAAAAGAACUUUGAAAAGAGAGUUAAACAGUACGUGAAAUUGUCAAAAGGGAAGCGUUUGACACCAGUGUUGUUUUUUCCGAAAAUCAAUUACGAAUGUUUUGUUUUUGAGGAAGUUAUGACUUCAUCGGCUUGCUUCUCUCUUUACGAAACUUUCUUAAUGCACUUUUCGGUUAACAAGUCAACAUCAAUUUCUUUUGUUGUAAAAAGGGUCAUUGAGGAAGGUGGCUUUCUUUUCGGAGAAAGUGUUUAUAGCCUUUGACUCCUGCAAUCGGAGAGACUGAGGUCUGCAGCGUAGAUCCUUUUGGGAUUAGAUUCAUUUGUGCUAAGUUAUAGCUUUUAUAGACAACAUGUUGACUAUAGUUUAGUCUUGUAGCUUACUCGCUUAUGUAAUUUUACCUACGCUUAGGAUGUUGAUCUCUCACAGUCGAGCA